rnacentral:rRNA from 1 species
AUUGAACGCUGGCGGAAUGCUUUACACAUGCAAGUCGAACGGCAGCACGGACUUCGGUCUGGUGGCGAGUGGCGAACGGGUGAGUAAUGUAUCGGAACGUGCCCAGUCGUGGGGGAUAACGUAGUGAAAAUUACGCUAAUACCGCAUACGAUCUAUGGAUGAAAGCGGGGGAUCGCAAGACCUCGCGCGAUUGGAGCGGCCGAUAUCAGAUUAGGUAGUUGGUGGGGUAAAGGCACACCAAGCCAACGAUCUGUAGCUGGUAUGAGAGGACGACCAGCCACACUGGAACUGAGACACGGUCCAGACUCCUACGGGAGGCAGCAGUGGGGAAUUUUGGACAAUGGGCGAAAGCCUGAUUCAGCCAUUCCGCGUGCAGGAUGAAGGCCCUCGGGUUGUAAACUGCUUUUGUACAGAACGAAAAGGUUUCUACUAAUACUAGGAGCUCAUGACGGUACUGUAAGAAUAAGCACCGGCUAACUACGUGCCAGCCGCCGCAGUAA